rnacentral:lncRNA from 14 species
AGAUCUUGUGAGCAAAACCAGAGGAAUGACAUAAUCUUUAAAGCUGGCUAUGACACUGAACUCAUAAUUCACAUCUUAUUUUUGUCAGCAGCACGUCCAAGACACAAAGGCCAUUCUUGAAAAAUCACAGCUGUGAUAUCUACAAUAACUGAACUACAAGAAAGCUGCAGCAAUCCCUGCAGAAAGUGGUCGAACUCUGUUUUAAAACUGUGCCAGUUCCUUGUCUCAGCUGCUUUGGCUUGAAGGUUGAUCCAGAUUUUCAUGCUGCUCAAGGAGCUCACAGAACCAGCAAAGUUUGUGACGUGUCAGCAUGUCCAACAGAAAACUUUACCUUGUGAGGGAAUACAUGUACCUUGUUUGUUGCUGGAGUAACAGGGGAAUGCUCCUCACCUUGCUUUAUGAGUCAGGCAAGCUAACAGC